rnacentral:lncRNA from 1 species
CCAGCAAGUGCUCGCUCAAAAAAGUUUUCUUUUUUGAAAAACUAGUUUUUCAUUUACUACUCUACUACUCCAAUGACAUAUUCAUACUUAUACUGUAUUGUAUAUAUUUAUGGUAUUGUCAUGACUCAAACAACAGCUGUUCAAAUUUUAAAGGUAACAUAAAUUAACUUAAGAAAAGUAUUUUUUAUUGAACAUGAAUCUACGCGUGGUCUACUGUGGAAAAUUAAAUAGAAUUUCAAAAAGUUAGAAAUACCGUCGUCCCGAGUGAAAUAUGGAGUUCUGAAUAAGACUAAGAACAUAUUUUUUGUGAUAGAUAAUCAAGUUAGAAGUAUCUUCCUUUGGUCUUACUUCUUGGAAAACAAAAAAGUCCACUUCUUCAGUUUUAUGGAUAUAGCUUCUCAUUGUUGGUGUACCUAAUUAACAAAUUAUUAUUAAUAUAUUUGACAUGUAGAGCAUUUCUUCUGAAUCUGAAACUAAAUGGAUUCCGUCAUAGUUUCAACCGUGGAAUAUAUUCAUUUUUUAUAUAGAUGGAUAGAUUCCUCGGAAAGUAAAAAGUCGACUCUACUCUAGUAUGAAGCUUAGUUUUGUUUGGUUUUCUUCCUUGGCUAAAUUUUCAUCUUGUUACACUCUAGUAGAAAUUAGAAUUCAAGCAUCUUUUGUUGAGGAUAAAGUAUCUCGAAUCUCUUCUUGUGGCCUAAUUUAUAAAUAAAUUUCCCUCUUUAAUUAAUGAAAAUAAAUUUUAGCAAAUGAAAAACACUUUUAUAUUUAAAAUGUGUCCCCCAUUGACUCAAAUAUUUUUUCAUGCUUUUUUUAAUAUAUUUAAGAUUGUUGUUUAUGUAUAACAUUCAUGUUCGGAUAAGAUCUAAUAUUUUACUUUAUUAUAAUUACAUAUCUCA